rnacentral:hammerhead_ribozyme from 1 species
AUCCAGCUGACGAGUCCCAAAUGAGACGAAACACGCGUCCUGGAU